CCUACGGGACGCAGCAGUAAGGGAUAUUGGUCAAUGGGGGAAACCCUGAGCCAGCAACGCCGCGUGAGGGAAGACGGUUUUCGGAUUGUAAACCUCUGUCCUCUGUGAAGAUGAUGACGGUAGCAGAGGAGGAAGCUCCGGCUAACUACGUGCCAGCAGCCGCGGUAAUACGUAGGGAGCAAGCGUUAUCCGGAUUUAUUGGGUGUAAAGGGUGCGUAGACGGAGAAGCAAGUUAGUUGUGAAAUCCCUCGGCUUAACUGAGGAACUGCAACUAAAACUACUUCCCUUGAGUACUGGAGAGGAAA
rnacentral:rRNA from 1 species